GCCUUUGGGUUGUAAACCUCUUUUGUUAGGGAAGAAGAAAGUGACGGUACCUAACGAAUCAGCAUCGGCUAACUCCGUGCCAGCAGCCGCGGUAAUACGGAGGAUGCAAGCGUUAUCCGGAAUUAUUGGGCGUAAAGCGUCCGCAGGUGGAAUUUCAAGUCGGCUGUCAAAGGCCGUAGCUUAACUACGGUAAGGCGGUGGAAACUGAAAGACUAGAGGCCAGUAGGGGUAGCAGGAAUUCCCAGUGUAGCGGUGAAAUGCGUAGAGAUUGGGAAGAACAUCGGUGGCGAAAGCGUGCUACUGGACUGGGCCUGACACUGAGGGACGAAAGCUAGGGGAGCGAAUGGGAUUAGAUACCCCC
rnacentral:rRNA from 1 species